AUUAUGACGUACUUGUACUGAUUGAGAUUUUAACACGAAGUGAGUGGCGAACGGGUGAGUAACACGUGGGUAACCUGCCCAGAAGUAGGGGAUAACACCUGGAAACAGAUGCUAAUACCGUAUAACAGAGAAAACCGCAUGGUUUUCUUUUAAAAGAUGGCUCUGCUAUCACUUCUGGAUGGACCCGCGGCGUAUUAGCUAGUUGGUGAGGUAAAGGCUCACCAAGGCAGUGAUACGUAGCCGACCUGAGAGGGUAAUCGGCCACAUUGGGACUGAGACACGGCCCAGACUCCUACGGGAGGCAGCAGUAGGGAAUCUUCCACAAUGGACGCAAGUCUGAUGGAGCAACGCCGCGUGAGUGAAGAAGGGUUUCGGCUCGUAAAGCUCUGUUGUUAAAGAAGAACGUGGGUAAGAGUAACUGUUUACCCAGUGACGGUAUUUAACCAGAAAGCCACGGCUAACUACGUGCCAGCAGCCGCGGUAAUACGUAGGUGGCAAGCGUUAUCCGGAUUUAUUGGGCGUAAAGCGAGCGCAGGCGGUCUUUUAAGUCUAAUGUGAAAGCCUUCGGCUCAACCGAAGAAGUGCAUUGGAAACUGGGAGACUUGAGUGCAGAAGAGGACAGUGGAACUCCAUGGGUAG
rnacentral:rRNA from 1 species